GUCUCAUUGCAACCUCAACCUCUAGGGCUCAAGCGAUCCUCCUGCCUCAGCCUCCCAAGUAGUAGCUGGGAUUACAGGUGAUAAAAACAAGAUUGAGCUAAAAGACAACAUAAUCAGAAGACAGAAAAUGAACACAAUAUCUAAAGAACCAGAAAAGACUGUGAGAGACCAGGAACAGCAACAGUAUACAUGCCACAUCUAAGGAGGGGAGGAGGGGCCCAUCUGUGCUCACCCCACUGCUUCAGGGUCCUUCUAACAAAGAGAUUGUUCUGCGGUGGCCCCAAGAACCU